AGCUUGUCAAUGAUGUUUCUUAGUAAAAAUGUCUGAAUGUAUGAAUUCCUUAGUGACUUCAGUGCAUUACUGAAAGAAGCU